GAAAGAUCUAUUCCCCAGUUUUAUAACUGAUCUUGAGACCUUUUAUGUCUUUUACUAUUUGGUUACUUAUGAUAACAUCACUUUGAAAACCUGUCAUGUAAAUUUAAGCCAACAAAAACUCUGAGGUUCUAAAGAUCAACAUUGUUUAUUAUCUUGAAGGAUGUAGAGGUGCUAAUUAUAGGCACCUCAUUAAACCAUUGAAUUUUCCUUUUUCUCCUCAUACUUAAGAUAGAAUUUGCUACACUCCCGAACUAGGCAUAUGCUCCACCUAGGGCACUGUAGACGUAGGUAUUCAAAUUCCCUCUUACCUUUCUCCUUAUCUUAUGUUUUGAUCCCCAGCUCUUUUUUUGAGAAUAUGAAAAGAAUGAUGUGAUGAUUUUUCAAGCAAAUGCUUCCUUGGAAAUUAAACUUUUAACGAUUGAGAGUCUUCUAAUUUGGUUCUUUAAUGUUUUCUUUGAAAUUUUCU
rnacentral:misc_RNA from 1 species